AUGGUGGGACGAUCUGUCGCGGCGCCUUUCUCCGGGCCCCCGUCAUUAUGGAGAAUGGCAGCUGAGGAAAGUCCGCACAGGACAGGGCACCCGUCUGUGGAAAGCGCAGCAGGGAGAAAUCUUUGGCAAGGUGUAACAGAGAAUAACCGCCGAAAGGCAAGGGUGAAAACGCGAGGCAAGAGCUCACGACACUGUAUGGCAACAUGCAAUGGGUACACCACACGGGCCUGCAAGACCAAAUAUACCGGCAGACAAGGGCUGCCCGCUCUUUGCCGGGGGGUAGGUUGCGAAGAUAAAUGACAGAUUUAAAAACAGAAAGCGGCUUACGGCCCCACCAUUUUU
rnacentral:RNase_P_RNA from 1 species